GGGAUGGACAUACCUCUGGUGUACCAGUUGUCGUGCCAACGGCAUAGCUGGGUAGCUAUGUAUGGACGGGAUAAGUGCUGAAAGCAUCUAAGCAUGAAGCCCCCCUCGAGAUGAGAUUUCCCAACUUCGGUUAUAAGAUCCCUCAAAGAUGAUGAGGUGAAUAGGUUCGAGGUGGAAGCGUAGUGAUACGUGGAGCUGACGAAUACUAAUCGAUCGAAGACUUAAUCAACAU
rnacentral:rRNA from 1 species